rnacentral:tRNA from 1 species
GGUAAAAUGGCUGAUAAAAGCGAUAAAUUGUAAAUUUAUAUAUGAAGAAUUCUUCUUUUACCA